rnacentral:rRNA from 1 species
GUCCACGCUGUAAACGAUGACGACUAGGUGUGCGGGGUUCAGUCCCCUCCGUGCCGCAGCUAACGCAUUAAGUCGUCCGCCUGGGGAGUACGGCCGCAAGGUUGAAACUCAAAGGAAUUGACGGGGGCCCGCACAAGCGGUGGAGCAUGUGGUUCAAUUCGAUGCAGAGCGAAGAACCUUACCUGGGCUUGACAUGCAGGAAGUAGAAACCGGAAACGGCGACGACCUGUUAAGUCAGGAACCUGCACAGGUGGUGCAUGGCUGUCGU